rnacentral:rRNA from 1 species
AACGAACGCUGGCGGCGUGCCUAACACAUGCAAGUCGAACGAGGUAGCAAUACCUAGUGGCGGACGGGUGAGUAAUACAUAGGCAACCUGCCCAACAGUGGGGGACACCCAGUCGAAAGAUUGGCUAAUACCGCAUACGAUCCAAGCUUGGAAUAGCUUGGAUGAAAGAUUUAUCGCUGUUGGAUGGGCCUGUGGUGGAUUAGCUAGUUGGUGGGGUAACGGCCUACCAAGGCGACGAUGGUUAGCGGGUCUGAGAGGAUGAUCCGCCACACUGGAACUGAAACACGGACCAGACUCCUACGGGUGGCUG